AGAGAAACCCCGCUGAAAUCUGCCAUACAGAUGCUGGACCCUUACAGUCAGAAAGUAUCUCUCUUACUUUUGUUUUCUUGUGAGGAUAUCUAACGUUUCUCAGCAAUACGCAAAGUGCUCCCAGAGCCCUGGAGGACACUGGACUUGGACCAAAGGCGCGUUAUGAAAGACCAUUAGCAAAUCAGCACUCAACAUGUUGAGCAUCCUGAUCCAUGGUCCAGUGGGAGCAGGGAAGUCCAGCCUCCUAAAUAGACCGCAUCCUCCAGGAGUGCAUGACCAGUGGAGCCAUGGUAGAAGAGGCAAAUGCUGGGCACAGCUGCAGGAACACAUGAGGAACGACCAUCAGGAGAUGGAACUGAGCAGCAAGAUGGAUGUGCUGCUGCUGUCUGCACAGACACACGUCCUGAACCUCCCCAACGGCCACGUGGCAUCUCUGGCCAACAGGAGAAGUAGCAUGGCCACAGGCAUAUGCUUUACCAAGGAUGGCACACGCCGUACACAUAAACCACAACAGGCUCUAUAUCGAGUGUACCCAAUGCCCAAUGUCCUGCUGUUAGCUGGCCCCUCAAUGUGUGGGGAUCAGGGCCCUGUAACUCGAAGCACACGUUAGCUGCUCUUAGACCUUACGCAUAUCUUAAGCCUAUCGUAAAAAGAUACGCAUGUAACUCAAAUGAUUCGCAAGUCUACGUGUAACGUAACUUAAGACAAAAGUUACGACUGCUUCAUACCACACGCAACGCUGUCUUAAGUGUCUGAACAACCUAGGAUAACCAAGGCUACUGUCGCUUGCAUUCAUGCUUGCCCUCUUGCAUUCUCUUCGCCUCCGUUAUUUUGGCAAUUGAGCAUUUGUUUCCUGCCAUUUAUAGUCGCGUCUUGUGUGCUCCUCACCCAGCUGUUUACGGUUUCUGUUUUCACGUCCCAAAUCUUCUUUCUAGAAUGUAUCUUUGUGUUCGUCAGCUUGAGAAUACAUAUAUAUAUAUAUAUAUAUUAAAUCCCUAAGUGACAGUUAUUUCAUUAGGCAGCUGUAAGAGCUUCCAUUCCUCAGCUGUAAGAGCAGCUUGGACGAACAGCAUUUUCAAGUUGUCAGGGGGGAAACGGACGCUGAUUUCCUCGUUACUACAACAUUUACAGUGGUUGCUCUUUCGAGUUACAGUUUAAGUUGCGUGCAUCUCACGUGUGACUUGCGACAAGUUUCAGUUACACCCGGAUCGUUAUGAUUUACGAGUUCGUAAGUCAUGCGUAACGUAAAGUUAAGUUUGAUUUUUCGAGUUACAGGGCUCCUGGUGUCCAGAGAUAUCUGUGGUAGGGCUUUGAGACAAUACUUAGCCACAAUAACUGUAGCUGCAUUUUUUGAGUAAGCCCAUUAAUACAGUAAUAAUGUGUUUGAGAUGCAUCCUGAACAUUUCUAAUAAAUUUGACCUAUAUCCUUUCCCGAAACCAAUAUCUUCAUCGUGGGACAUCUCUUGAAGGUGCAGGCAGUGAUUGCACAGGAAGUUGAGAUUCUUGAAUCCUUAAAACUCACAGCAUUUCAGAAUCAGAAUCAGCUUUAUUAGCCAGUUUUGCUUAUAUAAACAAGGUAUUUGACCCCGUUUAGUCUUAGUACACAACAAUCACUUUACAUAUGAAGAAUAAACACACAAAGGAUAGUAAUGAAUAUACAAAAUACUGUUUAAAGUAUGCAAUAUAACAACACAAUAAAUUAACCAAAAAAAGUAACUAUUGAUGACAAUAACAACUAGGAAAGCACUCAGAGAGCGUAGACCUCCGUCUGUAUUGUUCUUCCUUGGUUGUGAUACAUUUGAACCUGAACUAUUUAGAUCGCCACCACGUGGCCAUACCAUGCCAUUACACCGUCAAGCGAAAAACAUAAUCGCCUCCUGAAUCUAGACGGUGAUACAAAUCUCUCCCAAAAUGUAACCGUUUCUUUGGGUAAUUUCAGACCUUCCCCGAAAUUGCCAUCGAAAUCCAUCCAUUGCUUUUUGAGUUGUCUUGCUAACAAACAGACAAGCAAACAGACAAGCAAACAGACAAACAGACAAACAAACAAACCCCGAUGAAAACAUAACCUCCUUGGCGGAGGUAAUAAUAAUAAGGGGAAUGUUUUUUUUCCCUACAUUUCAGCGUUAAAAUGUGCAAUUUCCCAGCAUAUCACGGUGAGAGAAAAAACACUUUCUUUCUCUUAACACUCUAGAAUCAUUGUUACACCAACAAUUAAUGUUACAAACCGAUUGCUUGGUAAACAGAACAUCUUUAUUAGAACAUGUCCAUCAUCCUUAUCAGCCAUCCUUAUUCCUUAUUACCAUUCAGAUUCCAUGUCAAACUGAAAGUGAACACCAAGUGCACUCAAGUUUGGGUUUGUGCAGACUACUUUCAAAUCUUUAGGCUAUAGACUACUAUAUAUGGCUCUCAUGCACAUAUGGCACUGCCACAGGUUUAUGAAUCAUUGAUGUGUCAUGUAAUAGUUUAUUCUGACAUCAGCAAUCCUCAGACUGUUUGAAGGGCUCUGCUAUUUAGUUUUAACAUUAACGUUACAGUGCAACUGUUCUUUAAGACACUGCUCUUAUUGUGUUGUUCUUGUGGUUUGUCAAUUCUCAAUUAAAG